CGAGGCAACACGCGCGGCAUGAAAUAAAAAUUCUUAAGAAUUUUGUCUCUUGCAAAACAUAUUAUCAGCUAAUGGAUGGUGGUCACCAUUACCCUUAUGUCAGUCAUUUAUUUAUCAUACUUUGCGACACUUCUACAAGAAAGUUUGACGCUCUACGGCUCUCUAAGUUUCAACGGAUUCAAGUCAAAAAAAUAUUUUAGAUUCAAUAAAUUGGCUAAAGCAUAAUAUAGAACCAGAAAUCAUUUUACACCAGUUAUGGGCUGAAACUGCUCAUUAUAGAAAUACUAAGCAAAUCAACGAAAAUGCUAUUCAUAAAUAUCCAGCUUUAAAAAAGGCAACAAGUCACAUACUUGUGAUGAUGAUUUAGCAACUAAUCAAAUACUUCUUUACCUAUUCAAACAGUGAAUAUUAAAAUUCCAAAGAAGACUGCCAAUGAAGACAAUCAAAAAACAGUUAAAUAUUGUAUGUGGAAACCAUCAAAAUUAGAACAAGCUAGUGCUGUGAUAGUCAAUAUCACAGUACACAAGUAUUUAUAGUUUUAAUAAAACAACAGAAAACAUAAAAUCCCAAUACCUAAUGCUUAACAUUUAAAACAUAAAAUAACACUAAAAUAUAAAUUAAGUAGAUACAUUUACACUAUACACUCAAGUUAUAACUAGUAUAAGCCAUCUUUUCUUAGACUAUUUACCUACAUUGUUAAAUUAAUAAUUAUUUAGUUUGUAAUCUAAUAGCUGUUGUAAACAUUUUAUUAAAUAAUACCAAUACCACAGAAUAGGUACCUUAUCUAAAUGAUAUCUAUGAUGUGCUUUCUUGUGUCCUUAGGUACCUAUCUACAAUCUUUCUUUAUUAUGUAAAUAUUUUUAAAUUUUGUCAUCUAUAUUAUAUACCAAAUUUGAUAAUUUAUAAUUAUUAUUUUUAAUAUCUUAGUGUUAUGAUGGUUAACUGUUUUUUAUGUUCUUAUGAGGCCGAAUGCCUAAAUUAUUUGUUUAGUCAUUUUAAUGUAUAUCAUGAUUUAAAAACAAUAGAAACAUUUAAUUGUCCAUAUCAGAACUGUUUACGUAUUUUUAAUAAUAUUGAAACCUAUACAAGACACCUUAAACAACAUGACUUCAAUUCUAAAUCCACAAAAGACAUAGGUACCUAAUAAAAAUUUUCAAUCUGUAAAUAAUAAUCUAUUUGAACAAACAACAAACUGUGUACCGUCUUCUGAUAAUGAUACAAAUUUAAGUUUAAGUAUUAUAGAUGAUAAUAAACAAAAUCAUAAUUUUCCUAAAUAUGAUGAUUUAAAAAAUUUACAAUCAUUAGCUUUAAGUAUGAUUUGUAAAUGGUAUAGUGACACAGUUAUUCCCCAAAAUAAAAUUGAUAUUUUAAUUAAUGAUAACCAAGAUUUUGUCGAUUCAAUUGUUUCAGUUCAGUAUUCAGGUCCUUAUGAUUUAAAUAACCGCGACGUUACAUUUUUUGUUUCAUGGGUAAAAAUUAAUGGGCUUUUAUAUAACUCCAAGAGUAUGUCCGUUAUUCUAAAGGUAUGUGAUGAAAACAGCGAUAUGUUACUAUUAUUUGGGUUUAUUAAAAGUAUUUUCAUUGU
rnacentral:lncRNA from 1 species